GGUAGUGUGGCCGAGCGGUCUAAGGCGCUGGAUUUAGGCUCCAGUCUCCAUGGAGGCGUGGGUUCAAAUCCCACCACUGCCA